rnacentral:rRNA from 1 species
AACGAACGCUGGCGGCAGGCCUCAAACAUGCAAGUCUAGGGGGCGUAGCAAUACGUCACCGGCGGACGGGUGCGUAACACGUGGGAAUGUACCUAGUGGUUCGGAACAACACAGGGAAACUUGUGCUAAUACUGGAUAAGCCCGAAAGGGGAAAGAUUUAUCGCCAUUAGAUCAGCCCGCGUAGGAUUAGCUAGUUGGUAGGGUAAUGGCCUACCAAGGCGACGAUCCUUAGCUGUUCUGAGAGGAAGAUCAGCCACACUGGGACUGAGACACGGCCCAGACUCCUACGGGAGGCAGCAGUUGGGAAUCUUGGACAAUGGGGGAAACCCUGAUCCAGCCAUGCCGCGUGAGUGAUGAAGGCCUUAGGGUUGUAAAGCUCUUUUACCCGGGAAGAUAAUGACUGUACCGGGAGAAUAAGCUCCGGCUAACUUCGUGCCAGCAGCCGCGGUAAUACGAAGGGGGCUAGCGUUGUUCGGAAUUACUGGGCGUAAAGCGUGCGC